GAAGGGACCUAGCGUAGUUCGGAAUUACUGGGCUUAAAGAGUUCGUAGGUGGUUAAAAAAGUUGGUGGUGAAAUCCCAGAGCUUAACUCUGGAACUGCCAUCAAAACUUUUUAGCUAGAGUAUGAUAGAGGAAAGCAGAAUUUCUAGUGUAGAGGUGAAAUUCGUAGAUAUUAGAAAGAAUACCAAUUGCGAAGGCAGCUUUCUGGAUCAUUACUGACACUGAGGAACGAAAGCAUGGGUAGCGAAGAGGAUUAGAUACCCUCGUAGUCCAUGCCGUAAACGAUGUGUGUUAGACGUUGGAAAUUUAUUUUCAGUGUCGCAGCGAAAGCAAUAAACACACCGCCUGGGGAGUACGACCGCAAGGUUAAAACUCAAAUGAAUUGACGGGGACCCGCACAAGUAGUGGAGCAUGUGGUUUAAUUCGAAGAUACGCGCAGAACCUUACCAACACUUGACAUGUUCGUCGCGACUUUAAGAGAUUAAAGUUUUCGGUUCGGCCGGACGAAACACAGGUGCUGCAUGGCUGUCGUCAGCUCGUGUCGUGAGAUGUUGGGUUAAGUCCCGCAACGAGCGCAACCCUCACUUUUAGUUGCCAUCAUUUAGUUGGGCACUCUGAAAGAACUGCCAGUGAUAAGCUGGAGGAAGGUGGGGAUGACGUCAAGUCCUCAUGGCCCUUAUGUGUUGGGCUACACACGUGCUACAAUGAUAUCUACAACAGGAAGCAAGAUGGCAACAUUUAGCAAAUCCUAAAAAGAUAUCUCAGUUCGGAUUGCACUCUGCAACUCGAGUGCAUGAAGCUGGAAUUACUAGUAAUCGUGGAUCAGCGUGCCACGGUGAAUACGUUCCCGGGUCUU
rnacentral:rRNA from 1 species